rnacentral:rRNA from 1 species
UGUUACUGACACUGAGGCACGAAAAGUGUGGGGAGCAAAACAGGAUUAGAUACCCCUGGUAGUCCACACCGUAAACGAUGAGCACUAGGUGUCGGGGGAGCAAUCCUUCGGUGCCGCAGUUAACGCAUUAAAUGCUCCGCCUGGGGAGUACGUACGCAAGUAUGAAACUCAAAGGAAUUGACGGGGACCCGCACAAGCAGCGGAGCAUGUGGUUUAAUUCGAAGCAACGCGAAGAACCUUACCAGGUCUUGACAUCCCUCUGAAACUCCUGAUAACGAAGGAGCCCUCUUCGGAGCAGAGGAGACAGGUGGUGCAUGGUUGUCGUCAGCUCGUGUCGUGAGAUGUUGGGUUAAGUCCCGCAACGAGCGCAACCCUUGCCGAUAGUUGCCAUCAUUAAGUUGGGCACUCUAUCGGGACUGCCGGGGACAACUCGGAGGAAGGUGGGGAUGACGUCAAAUCAUCAUGCCCCUUAUGAUCUGGGCUACACACGUUGUACGGCGGGGGGUACAAAAAGCCGCAAACCCGUGAGGGGGAGCAAAUCUCAAAAACCGAUCCCAGUUCGGACUGUAGGCUCAACUAGCCUACACGAACUCGGAGUGC